rnacentral:rRNA from 1 species
UACGGGGGGGGCAAGCGUUGUUCGGAAUUACUGGGCGUAAAGGGCUCGUAGGCGGCCAACUAAGUCAGACGUGAAAUCCCUCGGCUUAACCGGGGAACUGCGUCUGAUACUGGAUGGCUUGAGUUCGGGAGAGGGAUGCGGAAUUCCAGGUGUAGCGGUGAAAUGCGUAGAUAUCAGGAGGAACACCGGUGGCGAAGGCGGGUCUCUGGGCCGAUACUGACGCUGAGGAGCGAAAGCGUGGGGAGCGAACAGG